UACGUAGGUGGCAAGCGUUGUCCGGAUUUACUGGGUGUAAAGGGCGUGCAGCCGGAGAGACAAGUCAGAUGUGAAAUCCACGGGCUCAACCCGUGAACUGCAUUUGAAACUGUUUCCCUUGAGUGUCGGAGAGGUAAUCGGAAUUCCUUGUGUAGCGGUGAAAUGCGUAGAUAUAAGGGAGAACACCAGUGGCGAAGGCGGAUUACUGGACGAUAACUGACGGUGAGGCGCGAAAGCGUGGGGAGCAAACAGG
rnacentral:rRNA from 1 species